rnacentral:rRNA from 1 species
UGCUACGAUCUACGCGCGGUAGUAAUGCUUAGAUCUGCCUAUUAGUGGGACAACAUUUCGAAAGAAUCUAAUACGCAUACGUCCUACGGGAGAAAHGCAGGGGAUCUUCGACCUUNAAUAGAUGAGCCUAAGUCGGAUUAGCUAGUUGGUGGGGUAAAGGCCUACCAAGCGACGA